UGCAUCCAGUGACAUCUAGAGAGCCUCAGGAGCACUGCACCAGGGUGUACCAAGAUGGCCGCCGCCGGGAGACCAGGCAGGGGAUUUCACUCACUAACUACAGCCACAGCAGACAGGGAGGGCGCUUCCCCACUUCCAAAGAUUUAACAUCAGAGAAGACUCCCGUAAAUGAGAUACAGGUUUAUAUGAGGAAUAUCCAGUUGUAUAUUUAAUCCGCAGCAUGCACAAAUUCACUGAAAAAGCACAGCUCAACCACCUCAAGCUUUCUGAUAAAUGCAAACAACUGUAUCAAGCACAAUGGACAAUUCCAGUUACAAGAACCUGUAGAGGAAUGAGAUGCAUUUAUAUAUGGAUGGCUUUGUUACAAAAGAAGUCUCUGUAUUAAUAAAUCAGCAUCUGACAAAUAUACCCUAUGGUGCGUCUCUUUACACAAUGAUUUCUUUGCUCUCGCUGUUCUACAAUGAGGGCUGAAGUCAUCUUCACAUAGUAGUGGUAGUCCUGGAGCUGCUCUUCGUUUAAGUACUUGGACACUGCUUCUAGAACCACCUGCUCUCUCCAGGUUACAUGAGCCUUUAAUUCCUUAGCAUCCUCCAACUGGUCAGUCAGUUGUUUCUUCUUCUCCAGAAGGCUCAGCUGCGAACGGAAGGAAAAAAAGAAAAAAGAAAAAGUACAUUAAACAAAAGAGGGUUCCGAGUCUUCACUACUCAAGGCACUCUCCACCCUGCUCAGCCGUCCAGAGAGCGACAACAGCAAGUUGACCACCUUGUCCAGGUCCCCAAUGAAGAAACUGUGCCUGAGGAGACGGACAUAUCCUGAGGAAAGAUGUAACAGAACAGUGGUGAGAUUCGAACCAGCAUACACAAACAAGAGGAAAGCCAUGCUAACCAAAACUGAACAGGAACAGCAACAGCUGAACCGACAAAAUUACUUAACGAAGUAACAGGGCAGGAAACACGAAGCACUAGGCGGGCGCCCAGUAUCCUCUACGGCAGGCUUUCCCAACAGCAAUCCUCAAGGCACAUUAACAGUCCAGGAUUUAGUGAUAUCCAUGCUUGAACACAGGUGGAUAAAUCAGUAUCUCGGUUAUUUUGAGUUAACUAUCUGUGUAGAAGCCUGGAUAUCACUAAAACCUGCACUGUUAGUGUGCCUUAAGGACCUAGGUUGGGAAUACCUGCUCUACGGACUACGUUAGUAUAAUGGGGAUGUACCAAAGCUCCCAAAUCGGGUUGGAGAGUGCUGAGGUUCCUGCAGAACUGAUUGACCAAACUAAAGGUCCUCACAGGCCAAAGUAUCAAACUUGUAGAACUUAGCAAACGUGUUCAAACCCGACCAAGUAGCUGCUCGGCAGAGCUGUAAAGCCGAGAUAACCCCAGGCAACUGCCCAGGAAGAACCCACCGAGCUAGCAGAGUGGGCCUGUACUUUAGGAACCGGCAAUCCUGUGGUAGAAUAAGCGUGCUGGAUAGUAAGUCUGAUCCAGCGAGCAAUAGAAUACUUUGAAGCAGGACACCCAAUUUUCUUGGGAUCAUAGAGAACAAACAGCGAGUCAGAUUUUCAGUGACGAGCUGUCCUCUUCACGUAGAUCUUCAAAUCCCUCACAACAUCCAGGGACUUGAGGUAGCACAAUGUGUCAGUAAGCACCAGAACCACAAUAGGUUGGUUGAUAUGAAACGCAGACAUGACCUUCGGAAGAAACUGCUGACGAGUUUUGAGUUCAGCUCUAGCCUCAUGAAAAAUCAAAUAGGGACUUUUGUGAGACAACGACCCCAGUUCGGACACACGCCUUGUGGAAGCCAAGGCCAACAGUGUAACACUCUUCCAUGUAAAAAACUUAACGUCAAGCCAGUCCAACUGCAGAAACUCGAACACCAAGUUAAGAUCCCAAGGUGCCGUGGGAGGUACAAAGGACGGUUGGAUGUACAGAACACCCCUCAAGAACGUCUGAACCUCAGGGAGGGAAGCCAAUUGUUUCUGGAAGAAAAUGGACAAGGCGAUAUCUGGACUUUCAAGGAGCCCAAACGUAGGCCCACAUCCACACCUGACUGUAGAAAAAAAGAGAAAAACAUCCCAGUUGAAAUUCUACUGCAGGAAAUUUCCUGUUUUCACACCACGAGACAUAUUUUUUCCAAAGAUGGUGGUAAUGUUUAGACAUUUCCCCCUUUCUUGCUUGGAAUGCCUUUCCAGGCUAAAAUCUGAUGCUCAACUUCCAUGCUGUCAAACGUAGCAGCGGUAAGUCUUGAUAGACGAAUGGCCCCUGAUGCAGAAGAUCCUCUCGUAGAGGCAGAGGCCACAGGUCCUCCAGGAGCAACUCCAGUAGAUCCGCGUACCAGGCCCUUCUCGGCCAAUCUGGAGCAAUGAGAAUUGCUUGAACCUCUUCCCUUUUAAUUCUUUGAGAAUUCUUGGGAUUAGAGGAAGAGGUGGGAACACGUAAAUCCUCUGGUAAACCCAUGGAGUCACCAGAGCAUCCACCGCCACUACUUGUGGGUCCCUCGACCUGGAAUAAUAGCAUUUUAGCUUCUUGUUGAGAUGAGAUAUAUAAAAUAUAAAACACAUAUAUAAAAUACAUAUAUAAAACAAAUAUGUGUAACACUUUCACACCAUUCUUUUUCACUCUUCACAUUAUUCACACAUGCAGCAGUAGCUGCUCCUACCUAUCUAAUGCUUUACUUGUAUCACUCUUGAAGUGCCCUGGGGUUGUCUGGCUGGGUGGCAACCCCAGGGCACUGCACCCCGUCCCCGAACCCUUGUAGUUAGUGUUAGGGACUUACCCAAUGAGAGGCUACCUUGGUGCGGUGGGUAAGCUCAUAGCCCUGGCCACGAUUAUGCUAAAUGCCUCUGGUUAUUACAGGUUGAGCUAGUGUGAAAUAGUGCACCUGCAUCUUUUUCUCUCUGUAUAGUGUGGACCACCAUCAUGCUGAAGGCUUUGCGGAAGCAGAUCCAGGGUUCUGUUCCUGAGAACCUGCAACCCGGUUUUAUGGGUUUACCUUUACUACCUUUGAAGGCUGUAGAAGAACCCUUGGAUCUGCCUUUGAAUUUUGCUGUCCGCAAGGACUGCAGAGUCGGAGCAGAGUAGGUAUUUCUAGUUGGGGGUGCUGCGGAAGGAAGGCAAGGAGACUUACCCACCGUAGCCUUGGAUAUCAACUUAUCCAGUUCAUCUCCAAACAAGACUUCACUUGUGAAAGGUAAAUUUUCCACUCCUUUCCUGGAAUCCGCAUCCGCCGUCCACUGGCGCAGCCACAAGCCCCUGCGUGCUGAGACUGCCAUGGCAGUGGUGCGUGCGUUGAGCAAACCAAUUUCCUUUAAGGCCCCGACCGUAAAGAUAGCAGAGUCCUGAAUAAGCUGCAGGAGUAAAACAAUCUCCCCCCUGGGAAAGGUAUCCAAUCCAUCAAUUAAGUUACCUGACCACUGUGCAAUGGCUUUAGUGAUCCAUGCGCAAGCAAAAGUGUACAGUGAUUUGAGAGUGUUCUCAAUCUUUCGGUCAGCUGUGUCCUUUAAGGAUGCUGCCCCAGGAACAGGUAAGACUAUCUUACGCGACAGCCUAGAUACCGAUGCGCCCACCAUCAGCGGGUUUUCCCAUUUCUUUCUAUCAUCCAGAGGAAAGGGAAAGGAUGUAAUUACAUUUUUUGACAGGAUUAGCCCAAGUUUGUUCAAACAAAGGCCCUCAUUCCGAGUUGUUCGCUCGUUAAUUUUCUUCGCAUCGCAGCGAUUUUCCGCUAAUUGCGCAUGCGCAAUGUUCGCACUGCGACUGCGCCAAGUAAAUUUGCUAAGAAGUUUGGUAUUUUACUCACGGCAUUACGAGGUUUUUUCUUCGUUCUGGUGAUCGGAGUGUGAUUGACAGGAAGUGGGUGUUUCUGGGCGGAAACUGGCCGUUUUAUUGGUGUGUGUGAAAAAACGCUACCGUUUCUGGGAAAAACGCGGGAGUGUCUGAAGAAACGGGGGUGUGUCUGGGCGAACGCUGGGUGUGUUUGUGAUGUCAAACCAGGAACAAAACUGACUGAACUGAUCGCAGUGGCAGAGUAAGUCCCGAGCUACUCAGAAACUGCAAAGAAAUUUCUGUUCGCAAUUUUGAGAAUCUUUCGUUCGCACUUUUGAUAAGCUAAGAUUCACUCCCAGAGGGCGGCGGCUUAGCGUGUGCAAUGCUGCUAAAAGCAGCUUGCGAGCGAACAACUCGGAAUGAGGGCCAAAGUAUUUAAUUCCUUUGAUGCCGGAAAGGUAGCUGAGGAUUUCUUUUUUAUAUUAAAAUAAGAUUCCUCCUCAACCUCAGCCAUCUUAUCAGGAGUGUGCAGGACAUUUCUGACAGCUUCUAUCAUGGCCUUUAUGCCCUGUGACAGGAUGGCAUCCCCUCCACUCACAUCUACUUCACCCUCCUCUGGAUCUGAUGUAUCGUCAUCAGUAUAACCCUGCAUGAGUUGGGCCAAAGUACGCUUUUGCGGGGGGGUGAGAUGCUGGUAUGGGGACUGAAUCUUUAUUUAUUAGGUCAUCCAUAGUCUGUCUUAAAAUUUGUCUCUCUCUCAUUAUGGGAUAAUGUUGUAGAAAUAUUAGAUAUCAUCCCUUUAAUGGAAGCUAACCAUGGGGGUUCUGCCCCACUAGCCUGAGAAUAGACACUAUCCUGAGUACAGGGUAGUGAGUCCCCAGGGGAGGAAAGACACUCCACUGUACAUGACACGCAGUCCCUGGACAUGGUUGUGAAGGGACACCCACACGCUCAAUGGGAACACGGAUUAUCUUUAUAGAGUCUUAGGGAGACACAGAAGUCAGAGCCAACCAAACAGCGCCCCUUUAGCCAAAGCAAACAUUUUAGCUGGGUCGCGAUACUAGCACCUUUAUAGGGUUUCGUAUACUACCACUGCACCCCCCACCCCCUCACUAUGACCCCCUGGUACUGCUGAGGAGACGAGGAGUUCUUGUGGAUGAGCUGCGCUUCCUUGUAUAUGCUGCUUGUACAAUCUGAAGAGGGAAAAUGGCACUGGUGAGCUGCUGGAUCCGCUCAGUGAGAAGGUAUUCGAGCACCAGAGCCGGGAGUGUAAAGUUACAGAACCCAGGAGGAACUGUGGUAAAAAUGUGCACUAUUUACAACAUGGCCAUGUGUAAUUAAAUGUUGGGUUAUAUGAUUAACUCUGCUGCUUUGAGAGAAACAUUGCUGUAUGCCCAAACAGCCUACGAAUAAUCAACUAACUGCUGCUGUGCAUUAACUCAAUUAAUCUCUGCAUGCUAAACAAAGUAAUCUGGAAGCAGAGAACGUUGUAUUUUAAAGCAGCAUAGACUCCUGAAUAUCAGAACACACUCUGAGUAAGAGACUGUGCAAUAAAUUGUUUGGCUAUAAUUCAGUAGAAAAGUAUCAAUUUUCAACUUGAGCUGAUAUGAGCAACUAAAUAUCAAAGUGGAGCUUGGAAACUUUGUAACACUGCAGUGAAACAGUGCGAGCAAUGUAUAUUGAGCUGCUUGUUUUAAGUGUCUAUAGAAAGAAAUUACUCUACAGAGCAGAGCAUUGAGCUGUAUGAAAUGUGAGAUUAUUAUUUUAUGUACACAGUGCCGGGUUUUUUAGAUGAUAUUAUUUUUAAAAAUCUGUAUAGAGAGGUAUGAAAAGGAGUUAUAUUUAAUAUAAGAUUUGAGUAAAAUAAAAAAACUGUUUAAUAAGAAA